rnacentral:lncRNA from 1 species
CAGGCCUAUUCACCUUGGCUAUAAUAUAGGUUAAGGAUCACCACAACACUCCCGCCAUUUUCCUGCAUGCGUAGAAACACAAUAAAGAUUCAUUUAAAUUAACUGACCAAGAAAAUUAAUGCAAGUAACGGUAUUCAACAUUUGAAGAAGUUGCUGCAAGCAUGCCCACAAGUCCUGUACAGUGAUCAGCAUGUUGUAGUGAAAAAAUUCUUGACAUUUGUAAUGUACUCCUCAAUUUCCUUGUUGACACCUAGGAUCAAUUGUGAUGAACAGCUAGGUAAUUUGUAACAAGGCCCAAUUGCUGCUAUGCUCUUCCGCAGGUCACCCAGAAAUGGUGGAUUGGGAACUUCAGGUUAUCAAAUUGUUUGAGAUUAUGAAGUUAGCCAGCAAUUUAUCAGCUCUUCUUUUAUCCUUCUCACAUACCCUUAGAACGGUAGGUUGAAGAGAACUCUUGGCUUUCCUAUUUGGAGCUGAAGUUGAAAUGAUUUCAGAUUCUAGAUCAUUAUUAUUUGAAGAGAUCGAACACCUAGCUUUCUCUUUAGUGAGUAUGAAUUGCGUGAAAUGCUGCAAUUCAAACAUCUUCAGGAAUGUCAGGGCCUCAAACUCACUCAAGAUAAAAUGUGAUUUAAUCCUAGGAAUGCCUCCAGCAAAACGCCUGUCGCAAAACUUGCACAAAAACCGGUCAUUUAAGUCCAACUUGGAGGGCAGCAGUUCGAACCCUCUCAAGCGCAAUGUAGGGUAUUUCCUUCCUUAAUUAUAUUGUAUAAUUGUGUGAAAUUAAACUUCUCUCUUACCCAAGUGUGAGUGGAG